AUCCUUUUGUGGGUCAUAAGCAUGAUGAUUGGGUUUUCACACACGUGUGUGAAAUUUGCCUCCCUCAAAGCUUGUUAGGACGUCAGCACAUUAUCCAUCUGACA
ensembl:snoRNA